GCAGGCAGGCAUUUGCUUAGAGCAGGCUGUGUGCUAGCCCAGCAUCAAGUGAUUCCGGCCUCCUGGAGUCAGCGGUGGUGGGAUGAGGCUCUGCCGAGGGGACUGGCUGUGAAGGAUGAGUUCAGGGUGGGAUGACGGACCGCUUCUGGGACCAGUGGUAUCUCUGGUAUCUCCGCUUGCUCCGGCUGCUGGAUCGAGGUUAGAAGACAGGUCCCAGUCUGCCUAAUGAGGCACUGAAAGUCUAGGUGGAAUAGAUGUUUGCUGGAGCCUGUGGAGAUUAUAAAACAGAGCUCACUGCCUUAUGUGGUCAGGAGAGGCAGGAGUGACAGCCAGUGUGAAGGUGUGGGAGUUGGAAGGAGCUUGGAACUCAACUUCUUUUGGCCUCUCAACUUGAGAUUCACAAAGAAAAAAAGCGAUGUCUCCUCGCCGAAAACAAAAUGGAAGCUCCUCCUUGCACAGUGCGCCCCUUCCUCACUGUAGUUUAUUCCAAGUGAGAAGAGUAAACAUGACUUCCAAAUGCCAUCUAAUGAUAUAUGCAUAUCUAAAGGAGACAAGGAUGACUGAAUGCAUCUUCAUGUGUAGGAAGUGAAGUGUCUGUUGACAUUAAAUACUUCUUCAUGAGAGAGAGGAGGCCCAUGACGGAGAUGAUACCAGUAUCUCCUUCUAGCACUCUAAAUUCCCAGUGUUUACUACUGCUGUCUCUGAAACUGCAGCAUCCUCACCAGGACCACACAGGGAACAAAUGCAAGACACCUGAAGUCCCUUUAGCUGUAUUCACAACACUUCGUAGAUAAGAUGAAAUUAGAAUAUGAGAAGGAUUUUUUAUUUUUUAUUUUUAUUUUUUUUAAAGAGCACUCUGUUCUCCUGGUAUCCUAGUAUGAGUGCCUGAAAGUGCACAUUGACUGGAAAGUUUCAUAUGAGCAUCAUUCCUGGGGUCCAGAAGACACUCUUGGCAAGCCUGGAGAGUGAAGUUGUUGAACAGGCAAUGGAAGCAUCCAUGAAAGGCAGACAGCUGCUGCAAGAGUUUCCAACAGAUAACUGGUCACUUGCACAGAGGGAAGGAACCAUGGAUUCCACGACAACGACACUUGUGCCAGCUUUUGUGUUUCCAGAAGUAUUGAAAAUGUAAGGGAACCACCAAGUGUAGAGUAUGUGAAGUCUGACAGAGACGAGUUCCUAAGGUGUUUGUUUUGACAAAUCACAUUGCAAGUAAUGUGAAAGCAGUUUGGAUUAAAAAUGUCCCCAUCUAAUGCCACAUUAGGGCAUGCAUUUCUAUAGCCUAAAUCUGUUGGUGACAUAAAAAUAUAUGUUUUAUUGGACACGUAAUAGUUUGAACACAUAAUAGGUUCUAGAAUGGAUCUGCAUAAAGUGAGAAGAAAGGAUAUAAAGGUAGAAGAAUAAAUGCAUAAAUGUUACAACAGAACACUGAGCUGGGCGGCUCUUCACCAUGGACCUUGCUCGUAUUUCUCACUACAGGCUUUCUCUGAGCUAACUUCCAAGUUCUUUCUUUCUCCUUCCAAACUUACCUGUAUGUAAUCUUGCUCCCAGGCCACCUGACUGAUUUUUGAUACUUGGAGAUUUGCUUCCACCUCGGCAUGACCAAGCCUUAGCCAAGUCACCGUUUACUCAGUUACAACAUCUGUCCCCUGCAGAGGGCUGUCAUAGCUUUCAUAGCUCACAAACAGUCCAGCUUGAAUCCAACCUUCUCUUUGGUCAUUCGGAGUAGCAAGAAGCAUUGUGUUUUGGAUUUACUGCAGAAUUCACACACUUAAAUGUACAGUCAGUUUUUAUAGCUCUCACUGCAUCCAGAUUGGGCAGUGACCUUGACUGAGACAUCCUUUACUUCUGUUUCAGAUCAAUUUAGCCAGCAUAUAAAAUCUCUGUGCACUGCCAGGGGAAAGUAAAGUGAAAGACUUCAUGAAGAAAUGGAGACGAGCCAAAUAGUUGACCAUGGUUGCUGUAUAAAUCUCGGACCCAGGGCUAAAAGGUGGCAAUAUAAAUGCAGAUGGUGCUGCUGCCAUAUUUUCCUGGCACACCUUUAAGCAGCACAUUUCAAGUCUGCAGGGUUGGAAUGGCAUUUCCAAAUAUAGACUCAAAAAAUCCUCAGGUGUUUGAUUCUAGAAUAGAGCUGGAAAUUCUGUCUUGCAAAUGCCUUCUGCAGCAUGGGAGAAAACCCACUCUUUUGUGUCUCUUGCUUUAAACUCUCUAUUUUCUGGAAACUAGAGAAAGAUGUGGGCCUGUAUUGAAAGACAUGCCUUGAACAAGAAUUAUGGACCUAUUGAAAACUUGUACAUUGAGUAAACUCUCUGUUUACAGGAAUCUAUGGAAAUAUCAAAACAUCGGAAGUGGCAGUAACUAUAGAGGUCAUUAACUAAGGAGAUAACCUGAAAAAUAAAGCUAUAUUUGCUAAAAUCUGUA